AGGGCAAGUCUGGUGCCAGCAGCCGCGGUAAUUCCAGCUCCAAUAGCGUAUAUUAAAGUUGUUGCAGUUAAAAAGCUCGUAGUUGAAUUUCGGGGUUAGUAGGUUGGUCGUGCCUCAGGUAUGUACUGAUCUCACUGAUUCCUCCCUCCUGAUGAACCGUAAUGCCAUUAAUUUGGUGUUGCGGGGAAACUGGACUGUUACUUUGAAAAAAUUAGAGUGUUUAAAGCAGGCUAACGCUUGAAUACAUUAGCAUGGAAUAAUGAAAUAGGACGUUCGAUCCUAUUUUGUUGGUUUCUAGGAUUGACGUAAUGAUUAAUAGGGAUAGUUGGGGGCAUUAGUAUUCAAUUGUCAGAGGUGAAAUUCUUGGAUUUAUUGAAGACUAACUACUGCGAAAGCAUUUGCCAAGGAUGUUUUCAUUAAUCAAGAACGAAAGUUAGGGGAUCGAAGACGAUCAGAUACCGUCGUAGUCUUAACCAUAAACUAUGCCGACUAGGGAUCGGAUGAUGUUAAUUUUUUAAUGACUCAUUCGGCGCCUUACGGGAA
rnacentral:rRNA from 1 species